CCUUAGAUGUUCUGGGCAGCACGCGCGCUACAAUGGUCUUCGCAAACGGAUGCAUUCUCGAAGGAGAAUGCCAAUCUUGGAAUCUAUGCCUUGGUCGGGACAGUUGCUUGCAAUUUUUCGACUCGAACCAGGAAUUCCUUGUAAUCGUGAUUCAUCACAUCACGAUGAAUACGUCCCUGCCCUUUGUACACACCGCCCGUCGCUCCUACCGAUCGAAGAGUUAGGUGAAUUGUUUUGAUCGAUAAGAUUUGACUAUGGUCAACUCUCGUUGUGAAAUUCUGUGAAUCUGACUGUUUAGAGGAAGGAAAAGUCGUAACA
rnacentral:rRNA from 1 species